UCAGGACGAACGGCUGGCGGCGUGCCUAAUACAUGCAAGUCGAACGGCUUUUCUAUGGAAGCUUGCUUCCACUGAGAAGAUAGUGGCGAACGGGUGAGUAACACGUGGGUAACCUGCCCAUAAGAGGGGGGAUAACAUCCGGAAACGGGUGCUAAUACCGCAUAGUUUCUUGGUCGCAUGAUCGGGAAGGAAAGACGGCCUUUGUGCUGUCGCUUAUGGAUGGACCCGCGGCGUAUUAGUUAGUUGGUGAGGUAACGGCUCACCAAGACGAUGAUACGUAGCCGACCUGAGAGGGUGAUCGGCCACAUUGGGACUGAGACACGGCCCAAACUCCUACGGGAGGCAGCAGUAGGGAAUCUUCCGCAAUGGACGAAAGUCUGACGGAGCAACGCCGCGUGAGUGAAGAAAAGGUUUUUCGGAUCGUAAAACUCUGUUGUCAGAGAAGAACAAGUUGGAGAGUAACUGCUCCAGCCUUGACGGUAUCUGACCAGAAAGCCACGGCUAACUACGUGCCAGCAGCCGC
rnacentral:rRNA from 1 species